rnacentral:rRNA from 1 species
AUUGAACGCUGGCGGCAUGCCUUACACAUGCAAGUCGAACGGCAGCAUGGGUGCUUGCACCUGAUGGCGAGUGGCGAACGGGUGAGUAAUGCAUCGGAACGUGCCCUGAAGUGGGGGAUAACGUAGCGAAAGUUACGCUAAUACCGCAUAUUCUGUGAGCAGGAAAGAGGGGGAUCGCAAGACCUCUUGCUUUAGGAGCGGCCGAUGUCGGAUUAGCUAGUUGGUGGGGUAAAGGCUUACCAAGGCGACGAUCCGUAGCGGGUCUGAGAGGAUGAUCCGCCACACUGGGACUGAGACACGGCCCAGACUCCUACGGGAGGCAGCAGUGGGGAAUUUAGGACAAUGGGGGCAACCCUGAUCCAGCCAUGCCGCGUGAGUGAAGAAGGCCUUCGGGUUGUAAAGCUCUUUCGGUUGGGAAGAAAUUGCACUGGUUAAUACCUGGUGUAGAUGACGGUACCAGCAUAAGAAGCACCGGCUAACUACGUGCCAGCAGCCGCGGUAAAAC